AAGAAUUUUUAUCUCUGUCUCACAUCUUGGACCUGUAAGAUGGCAGGUCAUUGUAUGAAAAAUGAAAAAGAAAUUGAACUUUGGAUCCUUUAUAAAUCAACCUUUCACUUUCCUUUUCCUUUUUCACUGAAGGGUUUUGAACAAAAACCACAACAGUCCCUUAGAUUCUUUUACCUCUCUGAUUCCCGCAGCUUUAGUAUUUGUCAAUCAGUCAUUACAGGCUGGAACCGUAGAACAAUGUGCAUAUUUCAAGUAUUCUUUUACCUGUCUGAUUCCCGCAGCUUUAGUAUUGUCAAUCAGUCACUGCAGGUUGGAACCGUAGAACAAUGUGCAUAUUUCAAGCUCAAAUUCUCCACUUUUUGCCCUGAAUAUGGUUAUCUUU
rnacentral:lncRNA from 1 species